rnacentral:misc_RNA from 1 species
CAAGAAGCUCGCAAGGACUCCUACAACCCUCGUGAACCUACUAUACAACGUUGCUUCGGCGGCGCGGCUCCCUCACGGGGAUUCGUAGCCCCGCUCUCAGGCGGUCAGGGCAGCCGCCGGCAGGCCUACGAAAUUCUGUUCUUAUCGCUGGCAUCUCUGAGUAUAAAACAAAUAAGUUA